rnacentral:lncRNA from 1 species
UCCAAGGAUGCGGCUUGGAGUGCCUACAAAAUUAGGUGUUAUGUGAGGAAUCAGUCCAAAGACAUAAAACAACACUUCGCCAAAAGUGACGGAGACCUUACCUAGGCGAACUUAAACAUGUCUCGGCUCAUGAGCUCGGACGCUCGGUUAAUCGCCUCGACGCUAGCGCACCCGCAUUCCUCAAGGCCCCGCUAGAGAUAAGCCUCUGACGGGUCGUCCAGCACGACCCUGGCCCUCCCCUCCGGAUCGUCAGGGUUGGGCCAGAUCACGGGACUCUGGCCCCAGGCCAUGCUCCCUCCCCCCUCCUUUGCGGGGGCCUCGGGUCGGGCCGGCCCCUUCCCGUGAGACAUCUCGGGAGGCACCACGCUCAGCACCACCUCGGCCCUGCCCUCCUCGGCCUAUCCAGGUUGACCCUGACCCUCCUGGCUAGUGCCCCCCAAAGGGGGAAUAGCUCCGAGGGCCAGGACCGUCCCCUCCGGCUCUUGGGGCCUCGGCGCACCCGCCUCGUUCGCUGGGGGAUCUGGCAUCUUCACCCUCGUCUCCCGCCCCCUUCCUCGUGGGAGAGCUCGCCCUCUUCGCGGCUUGAGGGGGGUGGCGACUUGGGCCUCGCUGACCUAGGGGUCGACUGAGCCCCCCUCUUCAUGGCCUUUAGGGGACCAAGUCCCACUGAAGCCACCUUGUGCUUCCGGCUGAAAGGGUAACGACGCGAAUUAAAAGAAAGAGAAAAAUAAAAAAUCAAAAGAAAGAUCAAAAAGCUAGUACAUACCUUGCUCGGGGGGCAGCACUCUUCUGGGAGCUUGGAGCUCCCUGAGCGCCUCCCGGAGCACCGAGGGUCGUCGUGUGGAUCCCCGUCUCCCCAACGGUUAGCGUAGGGGCUUCAACGGUGGUCUCGACCCACGGCACCUCUGCCGAGCCUUCCACCUCCGCCCCAGGCGUUGGGCGGGGCUCAGUUGGGCCCCCCGGUGCCACCGGCUGUGGGGGCAUCUCGGAUCCGUCGCCCGGCGCCCUUUCCUCCUCUUGGGGACCCUGGGGGACAGAGCCCUCUGUAGCACCCUAGGUGUUAAGCAUGCACUUAGUCUCAUAAAACAUUCAUAAGCAUUCUCAUCAAGCAUGGCAUAAGCAUCACAUCCCAUGGGCACAAUAAUAACUCAAGUGUGAUUUAUGUGUGCUUUAUUUCAGGUGAAUUAAAUAUGUUAAAAAUAUUAUGCUUGCUUCUAAAAUUGUGAAAUAUUCAAAUUAGGGUGAAUUGUGUGUUAAAAGGUUUAAGCCAG